UGGUCCUCUGAAGAACAGCAGGUGCUCUUAACUGCUGAACCAUUUUCCCAGUCCUGGAAAAAAAAUUUUAGGAAAGAAUCGAAUAGAAAUUUAGAAUUUAGGAAAAAUAAACAAAUACACUGUUUUAGGAUUCAAGAGAGUAACGAUUGCAGUAAUUAAUUUCAUUUCAUUUUCGUUAGGCUCUAACAGGACCUUGAGCCAGACAUCCAGGAAGUUGCUGUGCAGGCAUUUUGGGGAUUAAGGUUAACAUCUAAAUCAACAAACCCAGGGAAGCAGUGUACUCUCCACACUGUGGAUGUGAUGUGAGGAACUAUUUGAAUUUCUGCCUUGACUUCCCCAAAUGAUGAACUGCAACUUAGAACUGUGAGCCAAAUAAGCCCUUCUGCCCCUAUGCUGCCGUUUGUCAGGGCAUUUUAUCACAGCAACAGAAAUGAAAUUGGACAGUGUAUAUUGGUAUUCCUUGAUCACUUAGGUGUAAAAAAAAACUACAAAUUAAACACUUGAGUUUUCCUUAAAAUGUCCGUGUCAUAUUGAUAUUUUAACAUAUUUCUAGCACCACAUUUCUAUUUAAUUUUCAUUGACUCAGUAAUUAUGCUGUUAUUUCCUUAUAGUGGAAAUGUUUAUUUCUAACAAAAUAAUCAUCCUUAUAUAUUCUUUGUAUAAUAAUACAAAAAUAAUAAGAUAGAUGUAAACAUUAAAAACCAAGUUCUGAUGUUCAAUUUUCCUAUCUACAACUUCUUGCCUCUAGUGUGCAUUCAUCUGUGUAUGCACAUAUUCAUAUAUAUGCAUAUAUAAUGAACUUUUCCUCAGAGCUCUCAUAACUCAUCUUAUAUGGCUACAGAAGUAUUUGUUUGACAUAUUUGUUGCUGUUUGUUUCAAGUACAAGCUGUUAUUGUUCUAGCAGAUGAUAUCUCUAUGUUCUUAAAGAAUGUCAUUUGGGGACUGUUGUCUAGAUUCUGAUGGACAGUAGUGGAAAGCAGCUCUGCUGUUCUACUUCAAGAGGUGGAAGGAAAGCUUCUUGAAUAAAAGCUUCAGUAAUUUAAUCUCCAAA